GUAGGGAAUAUUGCGCAAUGGGGGAAACCCUGACGCAGCGACGCCGCGUGAGUGAUGAAGGCCUUCGGGUCGUAAAGCUCUGUUGCAGGGGAAUAAAAAAAUGAAGGUACCCUGUGAGGAAGGAUCGGCUAACUUCGUGCCAGCAGCCGCGGUAAGACGAGGGAUCCUAGCGUUGCUCGGAAUCAUUGGGCGUAAAGAGGGCGUAGGUGGCUUGGUAAGUCAGGUGUGAAAGCCCAGGGCUCAACCCUGGAAGUGCAUUUGAUACUGCUGAGCUUGAGUGUCGGAGAGGUUACCGGAAUACCUGGUGUAGUGGUGAAAUACGUAGAUAUCAGGUGGAACACCGGAGGCGAAGGCGGGUAACUGGACGAACACUGACACUGAGGCCCGAAAGCGUGGGGAUCAAACAGGAUUAGAUACACCAGUAGUCC
rnacentral:rRNA from 1 species